GACGAACGCUGGCGGCGUGCUUAACACAUGCAAGUCGAACGAUGAAACCGGAGCUUGCUCCGGUGGAUUAGUGGCGAACGGGUGAGUAACACGUGAGUAACCUGCCCUUGACUCUGGGAUAACUGCGGGAAACUGUAGCUAAUACCGGAGACGACCCUCGGCGGCAUCGCCAGGGGGUGGAAAGAAUUUCGGUCAAGGAUGGACUCGCGGCCUAUCAGCUAGUUGGUGAAGUAGCGGCUCACCAAGGCGACGACGGGUAACCGGCCUGAGAGGGUGACCGGCCACACUGGGACUGAGACACGGCCCAGACUCCUACGGGAGGCAGCAGUGGGGAAUAUUGCACAAUGGGCGCAAGCCUGAUGCAGCAACGCCGCGUGAGGGAUGACGGCCUUCGGGUUGUAAACCUCUUUUAGUAGGGAAGAAGCGAAAGUGACGGUACCUGCAGAAAAAGCACCGGCUAACUACGUGCCAGCAGCCGCCGUAA
rnacentral:rRNA from 1 species